rnacentral:misc_RNA from 1 species
AAGUCGUAACAAGGUUUCCGUAGGUGAACCUGCGGAAGGAUCAUUAACACAUCCUUUUCAUAUACAUACAUUGUCGCACUGGGAACCAUCCGUAAGUAGGGGCCGCGUUAGGCAACGGUUUGAUUCAUGUCAUGAGCAUGACUGGCUUAUCAGGAUCGUGGACGACACUCUCUUUCGAGAGUGUCGAGCUGCAACUCUACUUCUUUUGGCAUAGAGCGUCAUUUCUCGCUCGAACUUUUUUUUUAAACCUUCGAAUUUUAUUUUGAAUUGGCUGGGAUUGAGAAGGACCUUUAUAGGUCUGCCUCUCUUGGCUUUUUGAUGGAGUAAUCCAUUAAAUAAACUAAAACACAACUCUUAACAGCGGAUAUCUCGGUUCUC